rnacentral:rRNA from 1 species
CAAUCAUCCAUUGUGAGUUUCAGCAGGGAUAAUAAAUAUGUACUUUAUUCAUAUUGUUUAUUGGUUCUUUCCGUUUUAAUCGAAUAAGUAAUGACGAAGAGAAAGAAUAGGGGAGAGUGUAUUGGAUGGGAGAGGUGAAAUUCUUUGAUCCAUUCAGGACAAACAAAAGCGAAGGCACUUUUCAGGUGCUUUUUCAUUGGUCAGGGGAGCGAAAGCAGAGGGAUCGAAGAUGAUUAGAAACCGUCGUAGUCUCUGCCGUAAACAAUGUCGACUUUGGUAUAGAGAAUAACAAAAUAAUUGUGAAAGAUUAUUAAGUUGUUUCUGUAUCAAUAGAGAAAUUAAAGUGUUUGGAUUCAGGGGGGAAAUAUAGUCGCAAGAACGAAACUUAAAGGAAUUGACGGAAGG